rnacentral:rRNA from 1 species
GAUGAACGCUAGCGGCAGGCUUAAUACAUGCAAGUCGAGGGGCAGCAGGACUGUAGCAAUACAGUUGCUGGCGACCGGCACACGGGUGCGGAACACGUACGCAACCUACCCAAAACUGGGGGAUAGCCCGGGGAAACCCGGAUUAAUACCUCGUAACCUUUUUAAGUGGCAUCACUUGAUAAGUAUAGCUCCGGCGGUUUUGGAUGGGCGUGCGCCUGAUUAGGUAGUUGGUGCGGGUAACGGCCCACCAAGCCUGCGAUCAGUCACUGGUGUGAGAGCACGACCAGUCAAACGGGAACUGGGACACGGGCCCGACUCCUACGGGGGGCAGCGUAAGGGAAUGUUGGUCAAGGGACGCAAGUCUGAACCGGCCAUGCCGCUGAAAGAAUGAAGGUCCUCUGAAUUGUAAACUUCUUUUAUGGGGGACGAAACCCGGAUAUUCUUAUCCGUUGGACGGAACCUCAGAAAGAGGCACCGCUAACUCCGUG